GAUGAACGCUGGCGGCGUGCCUAAUACAUGCAAGUCGAGCGAACAGAUGAGGAGCUUGCUCCUCUGACGUUAGCGGCGGACGGGUGAGUAACACGUGGAUAACCUACCUAUAAGACUGGGAUAACUUCGGGAAACCGGAGCUAAUACCGGAUAAUAUAUUGAACCGCAUGGUUCAAUAGUGAAAGACGGUUUUGCUGUCACUUAUAGAUGGAUCCGCGCCGCAUUAGCUAGUUGGUAAGGUAACGGCUUACCAAGGCAACGAUGCGUAGCCGACCUGAGAGGGUUAUCGGCCACACUGGAACUGAGACACGGUCCAGACUCCUACGGGAGGCAGCAGUAGGGAAUCUUCCGCAAUGGGCGAAAGCCUGACGGAGCAACGCCGCGUGAGUGAUGAAGGUCUUCGGAUCGUAAAACUCUGUUAUUAGGGAAGAACAAAUGUGUAAGUAACUAUGCACGUCUUGACGGUACCUAAUCAGAAAGCCACGGCUAACUACGUG
rnacentral:rRNA from 1 species